rnacentral:rRNA from 1 species
GGAGCAUGUGGUUUAAUUCGAUGAUACGCGAGGAACCUUACCUGGGCUCGGAACGUAAGAUGACUGUAGGUGAAAGCUUACAUCUCUUCGGAGCAUUUUACGAGGUGCUGCAUGGUUGUCGUCAGCUCGUGCCGUGAGGUGUCGGUUAAGUCCCAUAACGAGCGCAACCCUACCUUUAGUUGCCAUCAGGUAAUGCUGGGGACUCUAAAGGAACUGCCUACGCAAGUAGUGAGGAAGGCGGGGAUGACGUCAAAUCAGCACGGCCCUUACGUCCAGGGCUACACACGUGCUACAAUGGCCGAUACAGAGGGCAGCUACCUGGUGACAGGAUGCAAAUCUCCAAAGUCGGUCUCAGUUCGGAUCGGAGUCUGCAACCCGACUCCGUGAAGUUGGAUUCGCUAGUAAUCGCGCAUCAGCCAUGGCGCGGUGAAUACGUUCCCGGGCCUU